rnacentral:rRNA from 1 species
GUAGGUGGCAAGCGUUGUCCGGAAUUAUUGGGCGUAAAGCGCGCGCAGGCGGUUCUUUAAGUCUGAUGUGAAAGCCCACGGCUCAACCGUGGAGGGUCAUUGGAAACUGGAGAACUUGAGUACAGAAGAGGAAAGCGGAAUUCCACGUGUAGCGGUGAAAUGCGUAGAGAUGUGGAGGAACACCAGUGGCGAAGGCGGCUUUCUGGUCUGUAACUGACGCUGAGGCGCGAAAGCGUGGGGAGCAAACAGGAUUAGAUACCCUGGUAGUCCACGCCGUAAACAAUGAGUGCUAAGUGUUAGGGGGGUUUCCGCCCCCCUUAGUGCUGCAGCUAACGCAUUAAGCACUCCGCCUGGGAGUACGGCCGCAAGGCUG